GUAGGUGAACCUGCGGAAGGAUCAUUAACACGUAUCCAACGUUAAACCCCCCUGUGAACUUUUAUCGUGCUCUUGCAGCCCGCGAGUAACAGCAAUCCUGGUAAAUCAGUCGCGAAAGUUGUUAUUGAUUCAGGACCUCUGUCUUGUGAGAAGUUAUAGUUGCAAUUGAGCGUUCGAGGCAAGUGGCUUGGUUUCCCAAACCAACUGGCGUCUGAAAGUGUCGCUGGUUGUCUAAGGAUAACGCUUUACG
rnacentral:misc_RNA from 1 species